rnacentral:rRNA from 1 species
CCUACGGGAGGCUGCAGUGGGGAAUAUUGGACAAUGGGCGAAAGCCUGAUCCAGCCAUGCCGCGUGUGUGAAGAAGGCCUUCGGGUUGUAAAGCACUUUCAGUGGGGAAGAAAGCCUUGGGGCUAAUACCCUCGAGGAAGGACAUCACCCACAGAAGAAGCACCGGCUAACUCCGGGCCAGCAGCCGCGGUAAUACGGAGGGUGCGAGCGUUAAUCGGAAUUACUGGGCGUAAAGCGCGCGUAGGCGGUCUGAUAAGCCGGUUGUGAAAGCCCCGGGCUCAACCUGGGAACGGCAUCCGGAACUGUCAGGCUAGAGUGCAGGAGAGGAAGGUAGAAUUCCCGGUGUAGCGGUGAAAUGCGUAGAGAUCGGGAGGAAUACCAGUGGCGAAGGCGGCCUUCUGGACUGACACUGACGCUGAGGUGCGAAAGCGUGGGUAGCAAACAGGAUUAGAUACCCGAGUAGUC